rnacentral:rRNA from 1 species
UGCAAGUCGAACGGCAGCAUGAUCUAGCUUGCUAGAUUGAUGGCGAGUGGCGAACGGGUGAGUAAUACAUCGGAACGUGCCCUGUAGUGGGGGAUAACUAGUCGAAAGAUUAGCUAAUACCGCAUACGACCUGAGGGUGAAAGUGGGGGACCGCAAGGCCUCAUGCUAUAGGAGCGGCCGAUGUCUGAUUAGCUAGUUGGUGAGGUAAAGGCUCACCAAGGCGACGAUCAGUAGCUGGUCUGAGAGGACGAUCAGCCACACUGGGACUGAGACACGGCCCAGACUCCUACGGGAGGCAGCAGUGGGGAAUUUUGGACAAUGGGGGCAACCCUGAUCCAGCAAUGCCGCGUGUGUGAAGAAGGCCUUCGGGUUGUAAAGCACUUUUGUCCGGAAAGAAAUCGCACUUACUAAUAUUAGGUGUGGAUGACGGUACCGGAAGAAUAAGGACCGGCUAACUACGUGCCAGCAGCCGCGGUAAUACGUAGGGUCCAAGCGUUAAUCGGAAUUACUGGGCGUAAAGCGUGCGCAGGCGGUUGUGCAAGACCGAUGUGAAAUCCCCGGGCUUAACCUGGGAAUUGCAUUGGUGACUGCACGGCUAGAGUGUGUCAGAGGGGGGGUAGAAUUCCACGUGUAGCAGUGAAAUGCGUAGAGAUGUGGAGGAAUACCGAUGGCGAAGGCAGCCCCCUGGGGUAACACUGACGCUCAUGCACGAA